UGAACAAUCUGCCCUUCUCUUCGGAAUAAAGGCGUUGGAAACGACGUCUAAUGCCGAAUACGACCUCCUUUCACAUGAUCGGAGGUGGAAAGCUCCGGCGGAGAAGGAUGAGCUCGCGGCCUAUCAGCUAGUUGGUGUGGGUAACGCCCACCAAGGCGACGACGGGUAGCCGGCCUGAGAGGGUGACCGGCCACACUGGGACUGAGACACGGCCCAGACCUCCGUACGGGAGGCAGC
rnacentral:rRNA from 1 species